AGAGGAGCGCUGUUUCUGGAGGAGUUAGGGGAAGGAGGCUGCCUGGUAAGCCAGGAAAGGGGCUUCUGGCCGUUCUGUUGGAGCGCCUCUGACUGACUUCCCCCAUGUGUCCGUGUGGCCACACCGUGCUACUUUCAGAGGCAGUGGGCUUUUCGCUAAGGGAUAAAAAGAAGUAAAACCUUGCCUUUAGCGCAGCUCUCCUUCACUGGGCAGAUUGCUCUCCCUCCCCACUCUCCCAGGCCCAAAUUGGAUCUCAGCGCCUGGGAGCUCCAACUUUAGCAAGUGCGAAAUCCUGUCUUCGGUUUUGGAAUUUUCAUCCGCACAGACUAUAUCAGCCACGGAUAGGAUAUGUGAGAAUACCAGCAUGUCAAGGCUGGGAAUCAUCCUUAGGCAUCACCUAGCCAGUCCUGCCUCUCAUUUUAAGGUGAUCACAGGAUCUGGUUUGCCACUGAAAGGAAUCUUGAUGCUGACCACUUCACCUCGGAGAGCAUGAACUGCUCCCAUGCCUUCAAGAGUUUUAGUGGGUAACCAGGAUGGAACUGCGGUGUUGCUUGCAGGAGAAGCUUACUACUGGUUUCUACUUCUCCAACCUCAUUGGUGGCUAUGCAGGCACUGUCUCCAGACUGUCUAUAUUCAACCCAGUAUCCAAGAAUUUCUUUACCACCAUCACAUUCAGGUUUCUCCCACUGUAGAGUGACACUAUCUUUGGAUAUUGAAAGAAUCUCAAGUUCUCCUGGUUGGCUUGGUUUAUCUGAAAUAUUUUAAAAUAAUGAAAAGGGAGUCAGCUUUACUGGUGAAAUAAAAGGACCAAACAUGGCUUGCUUCUUUAAUUUAACCCCUUCUUCUGAAUUCCUUACCAAAUGGAUCUUUGCAAACAACUGGUUCAGAAGCAGGGCUGGUCUCACUCAGGCCAACAUCAUUCUGUGCGAUGAUGCGGAACUGAUACUCAGCAUCGGGAACAAGCCCUGUGACAGUGUACAUUGUGGUGGUGAUCUGAGUCUUGUUGUGUCUGACCCACUUGUCAGUGGAUGUCUCUUUGCGUUCGAUGUAGUAGCCUGUGACUCUAGAACCACCAUCAUCUUUGGGCCGGGACCAGGACAAGCUAACAGAACUCUUGGUUACAUCGAGUACUUCUGGAGGAUUGCUUGGAGGUUCUGGAGGAUCUGUAAAUAUAAGUGGAAAGCACACAUGUAUUAGAAUACAGUCCCAAGUAUUAUAAGCCAAUGACUUUCAUUUAAAAACAGAAAAGUGCUGAAAUAAUGUUUAUAAUUUUGUGGUUGAAAGGGCACUUACUCAAUGGUGUUUUUGGUGUGACUGGUUCCUCAGAUUUCAAGGGUUUGCUUAUGCCAAACUGGUUUUCUGCUGAAACACGGAAAUGGUAUUCUACAUUCUCUUUGAGGCCUUUUACCACCAGAGAUGUACCUCGGACUCUGGAAUCAAUGGUAUACCAGGCGGCUUUAGGCACUUCUCGUCUCUCGAGGAUGUAGCCUAAGAUGUCAGCACCACCAUCAUCAGCAGGAGGUCUCCAGCUGACCCUCACAGAGCGGACUUGGAUGUCAUCAUAUUCCAGUGGCCCUUCUGGACUGUUGGGACUUCCUAUCACCCUGACCUUGAUGUAGACAGCCUUCUUGCCACAUUUAUUUUCCAGAACCAGGUCAUAAGUGCCAGAAUCACCCCUGUCUGCUUCUUUGAUCACAAGCUCAGUGUGUGUUUCAGAUGUUGCAAUCAUGGCACGCUUACUAAUAUCCUGGCCUUCCUUGGUCCAUUUACAUAUUGGGAAUGGUUUUCCUUUGAUUGGUAUGGUAAGUCUGAUGACGCCACCUUGCCUUACAAAGAUACCUUCUUGGUAUCUUUCAUCAAGUUCAUAAUCAGGAUAUUCUGGAAAAAAAGGUAGGGUUUCAAUUUAGCAUUUGGGGUAGGGGGACUAAGAAAUAAGUCUAUGGCAAUUAUUGCAGAAAGCAAAUGAUCAUAUGUCUCACCAAGCAUUUCAGUGACUUUGACUGUUCCUGGUACCUCAGCAGGCUCACCAGGUCCACCAGCAUUACAAGCUAGGACGCGGAACCUGUAUUCUGCACCCUGAGGUAGGUGUGUUAGAGUAUACUCUCGAAUCUUGGUUGGAGUGGUGUUACACUUGGUCCAUUCAUGUUGAUCUACUUUUUGCAUUUCAAUCAAGUAGCCUGUGACUUUAGAUCCUCCUUCAUCUUCUGGAACACUCCAGGCCAGGGAGACUGAUGUCCUUGUUGUAUCAGUAACUCUUGGGUUUUGUGGCUUUCCUGGAGGAGCUGAGAAUAAGAAUAAGAAUAUACUGGUUAAAGUUGCUGCAAAGUUGAAAAUUAGCUGUGCCACCUAACAAAUUCAAUGAGUUGUUGAAACGGACUGUUAACAUUAGCCUGUUUUUUUGUCUUGUGAAAAUUUUAUUCAUGGCUGGGUGUGGUGGCUCAUGCCUGUAAUCACAGCAAGUUGGGAGGCCAAGGUGGGCAGAUACUUGAGGUCAGGAGUUAGUUCAAGACCAGCCUGGCCAACAUGGUGAAACCGCGUCUCUACUAAAAACAUAAAAAUUAGCCAUGCGUGGUGGCAGGCACCUGUAAUCCCAGCUACUCAGGAGGCUGAGGCAGAAGAAUUGCUUGAACCUGGGAGACAGAGGUUGCAGUGAGCCAAGAUCAUGCCACUGCACUCCAGCCUGGGUGACAG
ensembl:lncRNA TTN-AS1 TTN antisense RNA 1